rnacentral:tRNA from 1 species
GCGGGUGUCGUAUAACGGUAUUAUAUGACCUUCCCAAGGUUGAGAACGGAGUCCGACUCUCCGCACCCGCACCA